GACGAACGCUGGCGGCGUGCCUAAUACAUGCAAGUCGAGCGGACCUGGGGGAGCUUGCUCCUUCCAGUUUAGCGGCGGACGGGUGAGUAACACGUGGGCAACCUGCCCUGCAGAUCGGGAUGACUCCGGGAGACCGGUGCUAAUACCGAAUAGUUUGUCGCCUCUCCUGAGGCGCCACGGAAAGACGGUUUCGGCUGUCAGUGCAGGAUGGGCCCGCGGCGCAUUAGCGCGUUGGUGGGGUAACGGCCCACCAAGGCGACGAUCCGUAGCCGACCUGAGAGGGUGACCGGCCACACUGGGACUGAGACACGGCCCAGACUCCUACGGGAGGCAGCAGUAGGGAAUCUUCCGCAAUGGACGCAAGUCUGACGGAGCAACGCCGCGUGAGCGACGAAGGUUUUCGGAUCGUAAAACUCUGUUGUGAGGGAAGAACACGUACCAACUAACUAUUGGUACCUUGACGGUACCUCACCAGAAAGCCACGGCUAACUACGUGCCAGCCGCCGCCGUAA
rnacentral:rRNA from 1 species